rnacentral:rRNA from 1 species
UACGUAGGGGCCGAGCGUUGUCCGGAGUUAUUGGGCGUAAAGCGCGCGCAGGCGGCUUGGCGCGCCCGACGUGAAAGCCCCCGGCUUAACCGGGGAGAGUCGUCGGGGACGGCCGGGCUUGAGGGCGGGAGAGGGUGGUGGAAUUCCCGGUGUAGUGGUGAAAUGCGUAGAGAUCGGGAGGAACACCUGUGGCGAAGGCAGCCCCCUGGGCUAACACUGACGCUCAUGCACGAAAGCGUGGGGAGCAAACAGG